rnacentral:rRNA from 1 species
GACGAACGCUGGCGGCGUGCCUAAUACAUGCAAGUUGAACGCUGAAGGUUGGUACUUGUACCAACUGGAUGAGCAGCGAACGGGUGAGUAACGCGUGGGGAAUCUGCCUUUGAGCGGGGGACAACAUUUGGAAACGAAUGCUAAUACCGCAUAAAAACUUUAAACACAAGUUUUAAGUUUGAAAGAUGCAAUUGCAUCACUCAAAGAUGAUCCCGCGUUGUAUUAGCUAGUUGGUGAGGUAAAGGCUCACCAAGGCGAUGAUACAUAGCCGACCUGAGAGGGUGAUCGGCCACAUUGGGACUGAGACACGGCCCAAACUCCUACGGGAGGCAGCAGUAGGGAAUCUUCGGCAAUGGACGAAAGUCUGACCGAGCAACGCCGCGUGAGUGAAGAAGGGUGUCGGAUCGUAAAACUCUGUUGGUAGAGAAGAACGUUGGUGAGAGUGGAAAGCUCAUCAAGUGACGGUAACUACCCAGAAAGGGACGGCUAACUACGUG